AUGCAGGAAAUCCAAUAGAAAUGUUUAGCGAGGGGGGAUUUAUGCCGAUAUAGGUUUAACAAGGCUACAAUUACAGAAACUAUUUUACCUCUUAUAAAUUGAAGACUUGCAAAAACCUACCAAUCGUGGUUUACCCAUUCUCCCCGUUAUUCAAUUACUAAUUUGUUUACGGUUUUAUACGACUUGUAGUUUUCAGAUAUUAAAUGGAGACAUGCUUGGUAUUAGCCAACCUACAAUAAGCCAGAUUAUCAAGAGGGUGUCCAUUUUAAUAGCAGAACAUUUGGGUGAAUUUGUAUGAUGCAACCAUAAAUGGUUGAACAGCAUUAUUAUUCCAAUGAUACUGCCUUCAGCUUGUGCAGAUGAUAACAACAAAUGGGAUACAUAUAUUAAGAAUAUAGAAAGAGCUAUAAAUACAUCUGUGAAUAAAUCCACUGGCGAAAAAAACUCCUGAAUUAUUAUAUGGAUAUAUUCCGAAGAUUGAAGAUGGAUAAGUGAGAUUAUUGACGGUAGAGAAUGAAAAGUAUUCAAUUACCUGAAAAAUUGAGAAAAGAGGUCAAAGAACAUAUAGAAAUGGAACAAAGGAAGUAUAAAAAAAUUAUGAUAAACAUAUAGAUUUAAAGGUAUCACAAAGAUAGGAGACAUGGUCUAUAUGAAAAGUGCUACUAAAUAUAAGGGACUAUUUACAGUGACACAAGUUCUACCCCAUGACACAGAAAAACACAUAAACAGAAGUAUUUAGAAGAAUAUGUUUAAUGUUUAAUGAAUACUACUUUUGGUUUAUUUAGUUUUGAAUAGUUUCAUAAAUUUUUAAAAUCUUUAAAUAUCAUAAAUUUAGAAUGAAUAUUUUUUUUAUUGUUGUAGGUAAUUUUUAAGUUAGUUUUGUUAAUUAAGUCUUGGAGACUAAGACAUAGUCAGGUUGGACGAGUGUCAGAGAAUAAAUUAAAUUUAUAAGUAAAGGCAAAAAUUGUCAGUCACUGAUUUACGUAGCAGACUAGAAAAAAAAGAAUAGAGAAGAAUGUCAUCUAGACGAGAAGAAAUAAGGAAGCAGUAAAAACGCAAUAAUCAUAGAAUGUGUAUUGUGAAAUAUUAUUCUAAAUAAAACUAUAAAACAUGGAGUAUCAACUUUAUAUAGAGUGGUCAACUCAAUAAGAAUACAGAAUUUACACCAAGGAAUAAAAUCUUGAAAAUUAUAGUUUUAAUGUAUUAGUGGGAAAAUUCUGUGUGACCAGUUAAAACAAGCACUUAACUGUCUGGUCAUAGUGAGCGUAAAACUACUAAGAAAUCAUAUGUUAUUUAAGUAUAGAAAAACAGUAUUUUUAUGAUAACUAAUAAUAGACUAUAAGAAAUUACUUAAAAUAUGUUACAUGUAAAUAUAUAAACACUAACUUAACACUAAUAGAAAAGUAAAUAAAAUUAUUAUAUAGGUACUAGUUACCUUGGAACAUUACUUAACAUAUUACAUAAUUACUAGAUAUACAUAUAUUAAUACAAUAAAUACAUUAAUUUGCAAAAUGUUGAAUAAGAUUUCUUCAAAAAUCUAACCCUCUUCCUUUUUAUUUAUAAUUGGAAUGUGUAAAUUAGCAUCUUCAAAAUUAUCUAAAUUUUCCCUUAAACCAAUAUUAUGAAGAACAGCUGUUGCACAAAUAAUAGCAACAGUUGUUUUGUAAACCUCGGAGAAAUGGAAGACGUUUUUACCAAGUCCCAAAUAGCCUUUCAACAUUUCGCUUUCUUCUAUGGGCAAAGUUAUACCUGGUUUCUUGUUGAUUACCUAGCUGUAGAACAGAAGUCAAUAGAAUUGGCCUAUAUCUAUAUGCAUUGUCUCCAAGAAGUAAAUCACGAAUAUCACGCCUUUCCAUUAGCAUUCUUAAAUUACUUCGAUUGAAUAUAACACUAUCAUGACUUGACCCUGGAUAUCCAACUAUAAUAUCCAUAAUUUCCCUUUUGGGACCUGAACAUUUAGACUAAAAAAAAUUUUUGCGAUUUUGAAAUACUUCCACAUUAUUGCAUUAUUCUUGAUUAUCUGGCUUAUUGUAGGUUGGCAAACACCACGCAAGUCUCCAUUUACCAUCUGAAAAUUACAAGUCGUAUAAAAGUGUAAACAAAUUAGUAAUUGAACAACGGGGAGAAUGGGUAAACCACGAUUGGUAGGUUUUUGCAAGUCUUCAAUU
rnacentral:lncRNA from 1 species